rnacentral:rRNA from 1 species
AACGAACGCUGGCGGCAGGCUUAACACAUGCAAGUCGAACGGUCUCUUCGGAGGCAGUGGCAGACGGGUGAGUAACGCGUGGGAACAUACCUUUCGGUACGGAACAACAGUUGGAAACGACUGCUAAUACCGUAUACGCCCUGAGGGGGAAAGAUUUAUCGCCGAGAGAUUGGCCCGCGUUGGAUUAGCUAGUUGGUGGGGUAAUGGCCUACCAAGGCGACGAUCCAUAGCUGGUCUGAGAGGAUGAUCAGCCACACUGGGACUGAGACACGGCCCAGACUCCUACGGGAGGCAGCAGUGGGGAAUAUUGGACAAUGGGCGCAAGCCUGAUCCAGCCAUGCCGCGUGAGUGAUGAAGGCCUUAGGGUUGUAAAGCUCUUUCGCCGGUGAAGAUAAUGACGGUAACCGGUAAAGAAGCCCCGGCUAACUUCGUGCCAGCAGCCGCGGUAAGUCACUAUCGA